UUCCUACGGGGCGCAGCAGUGAGGAAUAUUGGUCAAUGGGCGCGAGCCUGAACCAGCCAAGUCGCGUGAGGGAUGACGGUCCUACGGAUUGUAAACCUCUUUUGCCGGGGAGCAAGCGUGCGUUCGUGAACGCGCGUCGAGAGUACCCGGAGAAAAAGCAUCGGCUAACUCCGUGCCAGCAGCCGCGGUAAUACGGAGGAUGCGAGCGUUAUCCGGAUUUAUUGGGUUUAAAGGGUGCGUAGGUGGCAUAGUAAGUAGCUAGUGAAAUCUGGUGGCUCAACCAUUCAGACUAUUAGCUAAACUGC
rnacentral:rRNA from 1 species